AAUGGUUAUGCCGAAGACAGUCAAUGGCAUAACCAUCCAAGUUGAAUGGUUAUGCCGUUGACUGUCUUCGGCAUGGCAUAACCAUUCAAACAUAUUCAACAACAAAAACAUUUAAAUUGAAUGUUUUUGCCGAACAUACUCAACGACAUAAACAUCUAAGUUGAAUGGUUAUGCUGUUGACUCGGUCUUCAGCAUAACCAUUCAACUUGGAUGGUAAUGUCGUUGACUGUCUUCGGCCUAACUAUU